rnacentral:rRNA from 1 species
UCCGAUGGUGAACUUGCGGAAGGAUCAUUA